rnacentral:tRNA from 1 species
GGAGACGUGGCUGAGCGGUUGAAAGCGGCUCCGUGCUAAGGAGUUAAGGGCUUUAAAACCCUUCAGAGGUUCGAAUCCUCUCGUCUCCGCCA